AGGACGAACGCUGGCGGUGUGCUUAACACAUGCAAGUGGUGCGACGAACCAGAGCUUGCUCUGGGGCAAAGCCGCGAACGGGUGAGUAACACGUGGGUAAUCUACCCCGAUGACCGGGACAACCCGAGGAAACUCGGGCUAAUACCGGAUGUGGUACGGAGACAUAAGUCUCUUUACUAAAGGUAGCUUCGGCUUCCGCAUUGGGAGGGGCCCGCGGCCCAUUAGCUAGUUGGUGGGGUCAAGGCCUACCAAGGCAACGAUGGGUAGCUGGUCUGAGAGGACGAUCAGCCACACUGGGACUGAGACACGGCCCAGACUCCUACGGGAGGCAGCAGUGGGGAAUCUUGCGCAAUGCGCGAAAGCGUGACGCAGCAACACCGCGUGAGGGAAGACGGCCUUAGGGUUGUAAACCUCUUUCAGAUGGGACGAAGGUGAUGCGGGGAAUAGCCGAUGUCAUUGACGGUACCGUCAGAAGAAGCUCCGGCUAACUACGUG
rnacentral:rRNA from 1 species